UACGGAGGGAGCUAGCGUUGUUCGGAAUUACUGGGCGUAAAGCGCACGUAGGCGGCUUUGUAAGUUAGGGGUGAAAGCCCGGAGCUCAACUCCGGAAUUGCCUUUAAGACUGCAUCGCUUGAAUCCGGGAGAGGUGAGUAGAAUUCCGAGUGUAGAGGUGAAAUUCGUAGAUAUUCGGAAGAACACCAGUGGCGAAGGCGGCUCACUGGACCGGUAUUGACGCUGAGGUGCGAAAGCGUGGGGAGCAAACAGG
rnacentral:rRNA from 1 species